rnacentral:rRNA from 1 species
AUGCUUAAGGGGAAAAAGAUUGAUGCAUUUUUCAAAAGAAAGAGAGGUGAUUCAGUUGAUGAACCAACAGCAACCGAAGCAAUGCCUAUUCAUCCAACGGACUGUGUUCAACCUCCUCUGUUGUUACUCGAAUUUGAGCAACACGGACCACAUCCUUCAAUGCCUCAACAGCAAGGACAUAGCCAUCAAACUCAAACAAAUGAAGUACAAUUUCAAGGGAUUGAAUUCUUGCAGCGGGAUCCAGCACUACGUCCACAAAUUUGGCAAUAUCCACCUAAUCAAAGAGAUGAUGUGCGGCGAGCAUAUUUGAAGCUUGGUAUUAUGCAGCCCCGUAUGGUCCAGAAGGUCGCAAACGACGCUUUAAGUAUGACUGGUUCAAGGAUUUCCCAUCAUGGUUGGAGUACUCGGAGGACAGUCAUCGUGCGUAUUGCUUCUAUUGUUUCUUGUUCGGCAAAAACAAAAACAAGAGAGGUGGUUCAGAUGUCUUUACAGUGCGAGGAUUUGUAA